AACGAACGCUGGCGGCAUGCCUAACACAUGCAAGUCGAACGAUACCUUCCGGUCUAGUGGCGCACGGGUGCGUAACGCGUGGUAAUCUGCCCUUAGGUUCGGAAUAACUCCCCGAAAGGGGUCCUAAUACCAGCUAAUGUCUUCGGCCCAAAGAUUUAUCGCCUUUGGAUGGGCCCGAGUUGGCUUAGCUGGUUGGUAGGGUAAAAGCCUACCAAGGCGACGAUACAUAGCUGGUCUGAGAGGAUGAUCAGCCACACUGGGACUGAGACACGGCCCAGAAUCCUACGGGAGGGAGGAGUGGGGAAUAUUGGAAAAUGGGGGAAAGGCUGAUCCAGCAAUGCCGGGUGAGUGAUGAAGGACGUAGGGUUGUAAAGCUGUUUUACACGGGAUGAUAAUGACAGUACCGGGAGAAUAAGCACCGGCUAACUACGUG
rnacentral:rRNA from 1 species